rnacentral:rRNA from 1 species
GACGAACGCUGGCGGCGUGCUUAACACAUGCAAGUCGAGCGGUAAGGCCCUUUCGGGGUACGACGAGCGGCGAACGGGUGAGUAACACGUGGGUGACCUGCCCUCAGCUCUGGGAUAAGCCUGGGAAACCGGGUCUAAUACUGGAUAUGACUCCAUGACGCAUGUUGGUGGGGUGGAAAGCCUUGUGCGGCUGAGGAUGGGCCCGCGGCCUAUCAGCUUGUUGGUGGGGUGANGGCCUACCAAGGCGACGACGGGUAGCCGGCCUGAGAGGGCGACCGGCCACACUGGGACUGAGACACGGGCCCAGACUCCUACGGGAGGCAGCAGUGGGGAAUCUUGCGCAAUGGGCGAAAGCCUGACGCAGCGACGCCGCGUGAGGGAUGACGGCCUCGGUGUAA